CCUCGCCCGACACGCAUUGCACCGUUCUCUCACCUUAAAACCUCAUUCGGUCAGCCGGAAUGAAUGCGUUUAUCAACUUCAUGGAGGGCCCAGACACGACCGCCGUUAGCUUCCACGAAUUCGCCAAUGUUCUCCGGUGGAGCCGGGUCACGAUCUUUGGACUAUGAACUUUCGUCACUCUGUUGUAGCUUCCUUCCACCCUUCCAUCUUCUAAAUAAGCAAUCAAAGUUCAAUGGAGGUGAAAGUUAUUAGGAAGAAAACGAAUUAUAAUGACAAUUUUUUUCGAUAUUUCUUUUAUUUAAAUAUAAAUUAAAAUAUUAAAAUAUUAAAAAAGAAAUGAUGAAUAAUCUGUAAAAAUUGUGUAAUUAAUACAUUAUUGUAAUAUGAAAUUAAUUUAUUAAAAUAUAAAUAAUUUACAAUAUA